rnacentral:tRNA from 1 species
GGCUUGGUAGCUCAAUUGGAUAGAGCAGCUCCGUCCUAAGGAGAAGGUUGUGGGUUCGACUCCCGCCCGAGUCACCA